rfam:Gossypium raimondii Chr01_contig_144, whole genome shotgun sequence.
UAUUAAAAAUUUCAUCCAUUUCUACUGUUAAAAACUGGCGUGGCAGCAUGUGGUGUGUCGCGUGUACCUCAUUUUGACAUACAAAAACCAAUUUUAACAGUAAAAAUAAAUGAAAUUUUUAACA